rnacentral:rRNA from 1 species
UGGGGAAUAUUGGACAAUGGGCGCAAGCCUGAUCCAGCCAUGCCGCGUGUGUGAAGAAGGCCUUUUGGUUGUAAAGCACUUUAAGCGAGGAGGAGGCUACUUGGAUUAAUACGCUAGGAUAGUGGACGUUACUCGCAGAAUAAGCACCGGCUAACUCUGUGCCAGCAGCCGCGGUAAUACAGAGGGUGCGAGCGUUAAUCGGAUUUACUGGGCGUAAAGCGUGCGUAGGCGGCUUCUUAAGUCGGAUGUGAAAUCCCUGAGCUUAACUUAGGAAUUGCAGUCGAUACUGGGAAGCUAGAGUAUGGGAGAGGAUGGUAGAAUUCCAGGUGUAGCGGUGAAAUGCGUAGAGAUCUGGAGGAAUACCGAUGGCGAAGGCAGCCAUCUGGCCUAAUACUGACGCUGAGGUGCGAAAGCAUGGGGAGCAAACAGG